rnacentral:ncRNA from 1 species
GAUUUAUACAGAAGAGGGGAGAGAUCGGGCUCUGUAAACCUCUGGCAACCUACCGCAUGGCAAGGUGCUAAUUCCCGCCUAAGACAACCGCAGGUAGCGGCGCUAGGGACUAUAAAUC